UUAAGUGACGCUAGCCUAGGAGAUACACCUGUAACCAUGCCGAACACAGCAGUUAAGCCCUAGAACGCCUGAAGUAGUUGGGGGUUGCCCCCUGUUAGAUAUGGGAGUCGCUUAGC
rnacentral:rRNA from 2 species